CUGGUACCAUGGCACAAUCUAAAGGCACUAAUGUGGCUCUGUUGUGCUAAAAGGUCCAUUUCAUUCAUGCAUAAAUUGUUUAUACAUGGUCUCUCAACGCCCCAGGAAACAUGAGCUCGUUUGGAUUGUUUUUAUUCAUACUUAGAUAUGUUUCUGUAUUGCAGGAGGGUCUAUUACAGAAGGGACUCAAAAGGAUAAGAAAGACAUCCAGAGUGUGCUGGACAAAUGGCACGAUGAUCUUCUUGAUGAUACCAACCGUAAACAGAGAACUCUACUUGGUCCAUUCAACACGAGAGAUAGAAAUAGCUCCUUCAACAAGGAUGGAUGGAGGCUUGACAGUCAAAGUAAUGGUCCUUUUGUGAAGUUCCCUAAAGAAGAUCCCAACACUAAGUACCAGAACUUUGCCAUCCAGUGGCAAAAGUCAGUCUAUUCAUGUGUGGUUGCUCCGCUCGGCCAAAGCCCCCGACCUGCGCACGAUCUUAUCAUAGAAGCAUUCAAUAAGAGCAUGGCGGAGUUAAAAGUUGCUGUUAUCAAGAGGAAGUCUGGAAACACUUGGGAGAUAGUGAUGGAAAAGUAAUCUCCUGUUCAUUACGUUUGUACUUAAAAGCAUUAUAUUAUAUGUUUCAUUUACAGCUC